AUGGGUAAAUUAUAUUUACCUAUAUAUGGAUGAAAAAAAUAAACAUGAUUGAGCGGCAAACUCGCAAGUGCUGUAUUUAUUUUUACGGAGGAAGUUUUGAAGAUUCAAAGUUAAAGUUUUAUGGUUUUAUUGCUUAAUCGCGGUUCAAUCGAUAGCCUGCCUGUUGUACAGGCCAAGAAGCUUGUCGCCAACUUUCCGAUGAACACCAGCCAAAGUGAAAGAGGUCCAAAUCGGCCCUUCUGAACGCGCUCAGAAUGGUCAACAUUCUCGUCUACGAUUUGUCUUGGAGCUGUCUUGGUCCGGCGAGACAACUACCGGUGUCCCCUUGUUGAAUUGCCCAGUCCGGCGGAAAAUCCCUUCAGAACCAUCUACCCCCAGCGAGAACUACACUGGAAACGUCUGGUCCGACAGAAUAAGCUCCCGGUAAGGCUCCCGGAUUAAUACCCUCAACGAUAGCCUGCUAUCUGGCCAAGGAAUCGUCAGCAACUUUCCGAUGAGCGCCUGUCGAAUUGAAGUACCCAGAUCCAAAUCGGUCCUUCUGGACGGGCUGAGAAUCGAUCCGACGGAACAACUUUUUGCGUCCCCGUCUUGUUGGAAUGGCCCAGUUCGGCAGAAACCCCCUUCCGGAACAGGAACGUCCCCGGUGAACUCCAGCCGAAUUGAAAGACGUCCAAAUCGGUUCUUCCGGACACGCUGGGAACGGUCUGGCGGAACAACAUUCCCGCCUACGAUUUGUCCUUGGAAUUAUUAUGUCCAGCGGAACAAUUAUCGGUGUCCCCGUCUUUUUGGAAUCGCCCGGUCCAGCGGAAAACCCCUUCCAUAACAGAAAUAUCACUGACUACCCCCAGCGAGAACCGCGCUGGAAACGUCAGGUAUAGCAGAAUAAGCUUCCGGAUUGAAACCCUCAACGAUAGCCACUAGGUCAAGAAACUGUCGGCAACUUUCCGGUGAACUUCUAUCGAAUUGAAGAAGGUUCAAAUCGGUCCCUCUGGACGGGCUGAGAUUAACCGAUCCGGCCGGACAACUUUUGGCGUCCCCGUCUUGUUGGAAUACCUAGCUGGGUCCGGCGGAAAAUCCCUAUCGGUAUUGAAACCAGAGAAGAAUACGGAAAUAAGAAGUGAGCGCGGCUUACCACGUGAUUAGAUAUGUGAAUAUAUAAAUAAAAGAUAAAACGCGUUA